rnacentral:rRNA from 1 species
AUACGUAGGGGGCGAGCGUUGUCCGGAAUGAUUGGGCGUAAAGGGCGCGUAGGCGGCCCGGUAAGUCUGGAGUGAAAGUCCUGUUUUUAAGAUGGGAAUUGCUUUGGAUACUGUCGGGCUUGAGUGCAGGAGAGGUAAGUGGAAUUCCCAGUGUAGCGGUGAAAUGCGUAGAGAUUGGGAGGAACACCAGUGGCGAAGGCGACUUACUGGACUGUAACUGACGCUGAGGCGCGAAAGUGUGGGGAGCAAACAGGAUUAGAUACCCUGGUAGUCCACACUGUAAACGAUGAAUGCUAGGUGUAAGAGGUAUCGACCCCUUUUGUGCCGGAGUCAACACAAUAAGCAUUCCGCCUGGGGAGUACGGCCGCAAGGUUGAAACUCAAAGGAAUUGACGUGG